UUUAAUGAGAAUAGUCUGGCCCGUUUUCAGAACAUUUUAAAAAGCAGAUCAAAGCAGAUUUCUCUGGAUAGGUUUUUAAUGAAACGACCCGCAAGUGCAGACAGUGAUGAAAGUGAGGCCAGAAAGACCAAAUUAAGCCAAGACAGAGAGAAA